UGUGGCUAUAAAAGUGACCACAAUUACUUGACAGACUCAAAAAAAAGAAUGGCUAGUUUUGCAAAUUUCAAAAGUGGUCAUGUGGUGUGCGUACCUUAUCCAGCACAAGGUCACAUAAGUCCAAUGCUCAAACUAGCCAAACUUGUUCAUCACAAUGGCUUUUACAUUACUUUUGUUAACACUGAAUUUAACCACAAACGUCUUCUCCGGUCCAACGGUCCACACUCUCUCGAUGGAUUACCGGACUUCCGGUUCGAGACCAUACCGGACGGCCUCCCAUCGACAGACCACGACGUUGAUGCCACACAACAUGUUCCUUCUCUUUGUGCUUCUACAUCUAAGAAUUGUCUGGUACCAUUCCGCAACCUUAUUAAUAAAAUUAACGCGGAUGGUAACGGCGUUGUUCCUCCAGUGACGUGUAUCGUGUCUGAUGCAGUAAUGAGUUUCACGUUGGAUGUUGCUGAGGAGUUGGGUAUUCCGGAGGUGUUGUUUUGGACUGCAAGUGCUUGUGGUUUCAUGUGUUAUUUGCACUAUCAUCACCUUGUUCAAAGAGGAUACACUCCUCUUAAAGAUGAAAAUGACAUUACAAACGGAUACUUGGAAAAGACGAUAGAUUGGGUCCCUGGAAUAUUGAAAAACAUGAGAUUAAGAGAUUUUCCAAGUUUCAUCAGAACAACAGAUCCUAAUGAUAUUAUGCUUAAUUUCUUCAUAAAUGAAACUGAAAGAAUCUCUAAAGCCUCAGCUAUAGUCUUGAACACAUUUGAUGCCUUUGAGCAUAAUGCCUUAAAUGCCCUUUCCGCCAUACAUCCUCAUAUUUACACCAUUGGUCCUUUACAGCUCAUGCUCAAUAACACAAUUGAUGAAAAUCUCAAAUCCAUUGGUUCAAAUUUGUGGAAAGAAGAUUUGAGCUGCAUUGAAUGGCUUGAUACAAAAGAGUCAAAUUCAGUUGUUUAUGUGAAUUUUGGAAGUAUAACUGUGAUGAAUUUUGAUCAAUUUAUAGAAAUGGCAUGGGGACUUGCUAAUACUAAGAAGCAAUUUUUAUGGAUCAUUAGGCCUGAUUUAAUUACAGGGACUCUGUAAAAUUGCCAGAAGAUUUUUUAAGUGAAAUUAAAGACAGAGGGAUGAUAGCCAAUUGGUGUUCUCAAGAGAAAGUGUUGAAACAUCGUGCGAUCGGAGGAUUUUUGACUCAUAGUGGAUGGAAUUCAACGUUAGAGAGUGUUUGUGCAGGAGUGCCAGUGCUUUGUUGGCCGUUUUUCGCGGAGCAACAGACGAAUUGUAGGUACAGUUGUAUUGAGUGGGAGAUGGGAAUGGAGAUAGUUGAUCUGAAGAGAAAUGAAGUUGAGAUUCUUGUGAGGGAAUUGAUGGAUGGCGAAAAGGGAAAGAAGAUGAAGUUGAAAGCUAUGAAUUGGAAGGAGGAAGCAGAGAAAGCUGCUAGUCCAGGAGGUUCUUCUUGUAUUAACUUGAACAAUGUGUUAAAUGAGGUGGCAAAUGGUCGGAUUUGAUCAGACUUAGGUUUU